rnacentral:rRNA from 1 species
UGGGGAAUAUUGCACAAUGGGGGAAACCCUGAUGCAGCGACGCCGCGUGAAGGAAGAAGUAUCUCGGUAUGUAAACUUCUAUCAGCAGGGAAGAUAGUGACGGUACCUGACUAAGAAGCCCCGGCUAACUACGUGCCAGCAGCCGCGGUAAUACGUAGGGGGCAAGCGUUAUCCGGAUUUACUGGGUGUAAAGGGAGCGUAGACGGUGUGGCAAGUCUGAUGUGAAAUCCAUGGGCUUAACCCAUGAACUGCAUUUGAAACUGUAUUUCUUGAGUACUGGAGAGGCAAUCGGAAUUCCUAGUGUAGCGGUGAAAUGCGUAGAUAUUAGGAGGAACACCAGUGGCGAAGGCGGAUUGCUGGACAGCAACUGACGGUGAGGCGCGAAAGUGUGGGGAGCAAACAGGAUUAGAUACCCUGGUAGU